UUUAAUUCUUUAAUACAAAAGAUAUGAAAUUCCAAUCAUGGAACAUUUACCUAACCCAUUAUCAUGGAACAUUUACCUAACCCAUUAUCAAUUUGUAUCAAUUUGUACCAUAAAUUAUGGAUAUCAAGUGCACAUUUUGUCUACAACAACAUGAUGGCUGGCCACUUCAUGUAAAAUAAGAGGUUUGUCAUGCAAAUCCUCCUAUUUUGCACGCCUAUUUAUUUGGCCACUUCAAUUUAGCCUAUAGCAUUUUCAAACAUUUUCACAUAAGUCAUAUUUCAUAAUUUCAUCCCCUUUUUCUUAUGGAACAAAAAUUAACUAAAAUUGCCGGGUUCUAUCUUAAGCUUAGGCCUUCUAGAGGCCCACUAACAUAAUUAAACCUAUGCCAACAUUCACAGAAUUCCCGAAAGUUGGGGCGUUACAUGCUAGCCGCCUCUAGCCCCUAGCCCUGGCACCACCGCUGACGUCACAUCAACCACCUCCUCCUCCACUUGCUCCACCAUCUGCAAGAUUUAAUGAAGAAGAGACAUAAAAUAAUAAAAAAACAUGUAAAAUGGCUUUAAAAAGCCAAGCCAAAAUCAUUUGUAAUAUUCAGCAAUUUUAUAAAUACAAGCAGUAGACAUUUUUAAGAAAAAAACAACAAGCAUUGAAGAAAAAAAACAGACUCAAACGUGCCAAGGUUCCAUUUUUUUCCUUUUAUUUUCAUUUUUCGAAACUAUACAUACAUACAAAAAUUUCAUUUUUAUUUUCGGUUACAUAUAUAUAUAUAUAAAAUACAAAAAAAGGAGGGAGACCGUACCUGUUUUGGAUCACCUAAAAGUGGGCAUUUUUUUUGGGCUCUGACCACCGUGUACGGCGGUCGCCGGUGCUGGAGCCCACGACGGCGACUCGCCGGAGUUUGGACGGAGGCAGAGAGGC
rnacentral:lncRNA from 1 species